rnacentral:tRNA from 1 species
GGUAGUAUGGCUGAAUAAAGCGGUAAUCUGUAAAAUUACCCAUAGGACACUCCUUACUAUCA